GCCUGGGUGGCUCAGUCGGUUAAGCAUCUGACUUCAGCUCAGGUCAUGAUCUCGCGGUCUGUGAGUUCGAGCCCGCGUCAGGCU
rfam:Felis catus isolate Cinnamon breed Abyssinian chromosome B4, whole genome shotgun sequence.